UACAGAGGUCUCAAGCGCUGUUCGGAUUCAUUGGGCGUAAAGGGCGCGUAGGCGGCUUGAUAAGGUUGCGGUGAAAGCCCGGGGCUCAACCCCGGGUCGGCCGUGGCAACUGUCGAGCUGGAGCACUGUAGAGGCAGGUGGAAUUCCGGGUGUAGCGGUGGAAUGCGUAGAGAUCCGGAAGAACACCGGUGGCGAAGGCGGCCUGCUGGGCAGUGGCUGACGCUGAGGCGCGACAGCGUGGGGAGCAAACAGG
rnacentral:rRNA from 1 species